rnacentral:rRNA from 1 species
UACAGAGGUCUCGAGCGUUAGGCGGAAUCACUGGGCUUAAAGCGUGUUUAGGCGGCGGGCUCAGUACCUUGUGAAAUCCCACGGCUUAACUGUGGAACUGCUGGGUAUACUGGUUCGCUUGAGCGGUCUAGGGGCGAGCGGAACAAAUGGUGGAGCGGUGAAAUGCGUAGAUAUCAUUUGGAACGCCAACGGUGAAAACAGCUCGCUGGGGACCUGCUGACGCUGAGACACGAAAGCCAGGGGAGCGAACGGG